rnacentral:rRNA from 1 species
CCUACGGGAGGCAGCAGUGGGGAAUAUUGCACAAUGGAGGAAACUCUGACGCAGCGACGCCGCGUGAGUGAUGAAGGUCUUCGGAAUGUAAAGUUCUUUUCGAAGGGAAGAAAAAGAUGACAGUACCUUAAGAAUAAGCCGCGACUAACUACGUGCCAGCAGCCGCGGUAAUACGUAGGGGGCGAGCGUUAUCCGGAAUGACUGGGCGUAAGGGGAGCGUCGGUGGUGUUGCAAGUUAGUAGCGUAACCCCAAGGCUCAACCCUGGAACUACUACUACAACUGUUGGGCUGGAGUGCAGGAGAGGCAACCGGAAUUCCUAGUGUAGCGGUGGAAUGCGUAGAUAUUAGGAGGAACACCAGUGGCGAAGGCGGGUUGCUAGACUGUAACUGACAUUGAGGCACGAAAGCGUGGGGAGCAAACAGGAUUAGAUACCCUGGUAGUC